GACGUAGGGCGCAAGCGUUGUCCGGAUUUAUUGGGCGUAAAGGGUGCGUAGGUGGCGCUGUAAGUCGGGUGUGAAAUUUCGGAGCUUAACUCCGAAACUGCAUUCGAUACUGCGGUGCUUGAGGACUGGAGAGGAGACUGGAAUUCAUGGUGUAGCAGUGAAAUGCGUAGAGAUCAUGAGGAAGACCAGUGGCGAAGGCGGGUCUCUGGACAGUUCCUGACACUGAGGCACGAAGGCCAGGGGAGCAAACGGG
rnacentral:rRNA from 1 species